rnacentral:rRNA from 1 species
GACGAACGCUGGCGGCGUGCUUAACACAUGCAAGUCGAACGGAAAGGCCCUGCUUUUGUGGGGUGCUCGAGUGGCGAACGGGUGAGUAACACGUGAGUAACCUGCCCUUGACUUUGGGAUAACUUCAGGAAACUGGGGCUAAUACCGGAUAGGAGCUCCUGCUGCAUGGUGGGGGUUGGAAAGUUUCGGCGGUUGGGGAUGGACUCGCGGCUUAUCAGCUUGUUGGUGGGGUAGUGGCUUACCAAGGCUUUGACGGGUAGCCGGCCUGAGGGGGUGACCGGCCAAAUGGGGACUGGGGUACGGCCCGGAUCCCUCCGGGAGGCAGGGGGGGGGAAUUUUGCACAAGGGGGGGAAGCCUGAUGCAGAAACGCCGGGGGGGGGAUGAGGGCCUUCGGGUGGUAAACCGCUUUCGCCGGUGACGAAGCGGGGGUGAGGGUAAUGGGUAAAGAAGCCCCGGCAAACUAGGU